AGAGGUAUGGCUCAAGUGAGAGAGUGUCUGCUUAGCAAAGGUAAGAUCUUGAGUUCAAAUCUCAGUACCUCCA
rnacentral:tRNA from 1 species